rnacentral:rRNA from 1 species
UACGUAGGGUGCGAGCGUUGUCCGGAAUUAUUGGGCGUAAAGGGCUCGUAGGCGGUCUGUUACGUCAGGAGUGAAAACUCGGGGCUCAACCCCGAGCCUGCUUCUGAUACGGGCAGACUGGAGGUAUGCAGGGGAGAACGGAAUUCCUGGUGUAGCGGUGAAAUGCGCAGAUAUCAGGAUGAACACCCGUGGCGAAGGCGGUUCUCUGGGACGGUACUGACGCUGAGACGCGAAAGCGUGGGGAGCAAACAGG